UAAAAUGACUCUCGGCAACGGAUAUCUUGGCUCUCGCAUCGAUGAAGAACGCAGCGAAAUGCGAUACUUGGUGUGAAUUGCAGAAUCCCGUGAAUCAUCGAGUUUUUGAACGCAAGUUGCGCCCGCGGUCUUCUGGCCAAGGGCACGUCUGCCUGGGCGUCA
rnacentral:rRNA from 1 species